rnacentral:rRNA from 1 species
CAGUCUCCUACGGGUGGCAGCAGUGGGGAAUUUUGCGCAAUGGGGGAAACCCUGACGCAGCAACGCCGCGUGAGUGAUGAAGGCCUUCGGGUCGUAAAGCUCUGUCAGGUGGGAAGAAAUAUCCUGAUAUGAAUAGAUCGGGGUUUGACGGUACCACCAGAGGAAGCACCGGCUAACUCCGUGCCAGCAGCCGCGGUAAUACGGAGGGUGCAAGCGUUGUUCGGAAUUACUGGGCGUAAAGAGCGUGUAGGCGGUUGAGCAAGUCAGAUGUGAAAGCCCUCGGCUCAACCGAGGAAGUGCAUUUGAAACUGUUCAGCUUGAGUAUGGGAGAGGGGAGUGGAAUUCCCAGUGUAGAGGUGAAAUUCGUAGAUAUUGGGAGGAACACCCGUGGCGAAGGCGACUCUCUGGACCAAUACUGACGCUGAGACGCGAAAGCGUGGGGAGCAAACAGGAUUAGAUACCCUGGUAGUCC